rnacentral:rRNA from 1 species
AGCAGCCGCGGUAAUUCCAGCUCCAAUAGCGUAUAUUAAAGUUGUUGCAGUUAAAAGCUCGUAGUUGAAUUUCGGGAUCAAGUCGUCGGUCGUGCUCAGGUACGUACUGGCGUCAUUGAUUUCUCCCUUCUGACGAACCAUGAUGUCAUUAAUUUGGUGUCAUGGGAAAUCAGGACUGUUACUUUGAAAAAAUUAGAGUGUUUAAAGCAGGCUCACACUUGAAUACAUUAGCAUGGAAUAAUGAAAUAGGACGUUCGAUCCUAUUUUGUUGGUUUUUAGGAUCAACGUAAUGACUAAUAGGGAUAGUUGGGGGCAUUAGUAUUCAAUUGUCAGAGGUGAAAUUCUUGGAUUUAUUGAAGACUAACUACUGCGAAAGCAUUUUGCCAAGGAUGUUUUCAUUAAUCAAGAACGAAAGUUAGGGGAUCGAAGACGAUCAGAUACCGUCGUAGUCUUAACCAUAAACUAUGCCGACUAGGGAUCGGAUGAUGUUAAUUUUUUAAUGACUCAUUCGGCGCCUUAC